GCCGGAGUGGCGGAACGGCAGACGCAGGGGACUUAAAAUCCCCUUUCCCGCGAGGGAAGUGAGGGUUCGAGCCCCUCCUCCGGCA
rnacentral:tRNA from 1 species